GCGUAAGGAAGAAGAGAUGAUGUAAGAAAGAAGACCCACACAUCUCUCACGUUAAAAGCCUCACGCCCUCUCUUCUUUUUAUCACACCAUAUUUUUUCACACAUGCAAAACCACUUCUUAAUGCCUUAAAAGAUCAAAUCCCAUUUGAUCCUAGGUGUUAAAUCCAAAUCAAAGGGGUAGAAGGGCGUUGAGAUAAGGAUGUAUUGUAAGAAAGAAAUCUCCUCAC
rnacentral:lncRNA from 1 species